UUUCAUUUAUUCCUGGCCUAAAUAUUAGAGGGGAAGUGAAAGGGAAGGGAAAUAAGUACCACUGCCAUCUGGAGGCUUGGAUACAUUGUUUUUCUUUCUUUCUUACUUGUUGAUACAUCUGGUGUUAUAUUCAAGGACUCUGAGUCUUUCACUGAAAAGAUAGUGGGAAGAGCAUGCAGAUUGUUUAUUCAAA